rnacentral:tRNA from 1 species
AAGAAAGUGACAGAGUGGCCAUGUGCCCGGCUUGAAACCGGUUUAAGGGGGUUCGAUUCCUCCCUUUCUCG